rnacentral:rRNA from 1 species
UACGUAGGGGGCUAGCGUUGUCCGGAAUCAUUGGGCGUAAAGCGCGUGUAGGCGGUCCGGUAAGUCCGCUGUGAAAGCCCCGGGCUCAACCUGGGAACCGCGCUUGAGACUGGCACGCUCGAGUUCGGGAGAGGAUGGUGGAAUUCCCAGUGUAGAGGUGAAAUUCGUAGAUAUUGGGAAGAACACCGAUGGCGAAGGCAGCCAUCUGGACCGACACUGACGCUGAGGCGCGAAAGCGUGGGGAGCAAACAGG